rnacentral:rRNA from 1 species
GACAGAGGGUGCAAACGUUGUUCGGAAUUACUGGGCGUAAAGCGCGUGUAGGCUGCUUCGCAAGUCGGAUGUGAAAGCCCUGGGCUCAACCUAGGAAGUGCAUUCGAAACUGCGAGCUUGAGUCCUGGAGAGGAAGGCGGAAUUCUCGGUGUAGAGGUGAAAUUCGUAGAUAUCGAGAGGAACACCGGUGGCGAAGGCGGCCUUCUGGACAGUGACUGACGCUGAGACGCGAAAGCGUGGGGAGCAAACAGG